ensembl:snRNA U6 U6 spliceosomal RNA
AUGCUCACUUAGGCAGCACAUAUACUAAAAUUGGAAUGAUACAGAGAUUAGCAUUGCUGCCGUACAAGGGUGACAUGCAAAUUCAUGAAGCAUUUUAUGUUAAA